rnacentral:rRNA from 1 species
ACAGAGGUCUCAAGCGUUGUUCGGAUUCAUUGGGCGUAAAGGGCGCGUAGGCGGCUAGGAGGUAAGCCGGGUGUGAAAGGGGGGGGCUCAACCCCCCCAGGGCACUCGGGACUGCCCGGCUAACAAGAGGGCCGGCGAGGAGAUCGGAAUUCACGGUGUAGCAGUGAAAUGCGUAGAGAUCGUGAGGAAGACCGGUGGCGAAGGCGGAUCUCUGGACGGCGCCUGACGCUGAGGCGCGAAGGCUAGGGGAGCAAACGGGA